rnacentral:rRNA from 1 species
GAUGAACGCUGGCGGCGUGCCUAAUACAUGCAAGUCGAGCGGUAAGGCUCCUGCAGAUUGUUCGAUACAUACGGAAGAGGGAAGGCUCCUAAUUCUGAUCGAAUAAUGUGCUGGAGUACACGAGCGGCGGACGGCUGAGUAACACGUAGGAACGUACCCAAACUGAGGGAUAAGCACCAGAAAUGGUGUCUAAUACCGCAUGUGCUCUUCGGAGAAAGCUACGGCGGUUUGGAACGGCCUGCGUAAGAUUAGCUAGUUGGUGAGGUAAUAGCUCACCAAGGCGACGAUCUUUAGCUGGUCUGAGAGGAUGACCAGCCAGACUGGGACUGAGAACGGCCCAAACUCCUACGGGAGC